UGAGUGGAUGGGAGCAACCUAGUUGUGCGUGUGUAAAGGUAGUGCCAAGAAAAGCGGUGAUCAUGAUGAAAAUCAAUUCCCGGUACCCGAAACCGACACAGGUGGGCAAGUAGAGAAUACUAAGGGGCGCGAGGUAACUCUCUCCAAGGAACUCGGCAAAAUGACCCCGUAACUUAGGGAGAAGGGGUGCCACCGAGAGGUGGUCGCAGUGAAGAGGCCCAGGCGACUGUUUAGCAAAAACAUAGGUCUCUGCAAACUCGAAAGAGGAGGUAUAGGGGCUGACGCCUGCCCAGUGCCGGAAGGUUAAAGAAGUUGGUCAGUCUUAGGAUGAAGCUAGCGACUGAAGCCCCGGUGAACGGCGGCCGUAACUAUAACGGUCCUAAGGUAGCGAAAUUCCUUGUCGGGUAAGUUCCGACCCGCACGAAAGGCGUAACGAUCUGGGCGCUGUCUCGGAGAGAGGCUCGGCGAAAUAGGAUUGUUUGUGAAGAUACGGACUACCUGCAUUUGGACAGAAAGACCCUAUGAAGCUUUACUAUAGCUUGGAAUUGUGUUCGGGCUUCCUGUGCGCAGGAUAGGUGGGAGGCGUAGAAGGUAUUCUUGUGGGGAUACUGGAGCCAACGGUGAGAUACCACUCUCAGGAGGCUAGAAUUCUAACUUAAUUAAGGACAGUUUCAGGUGGGUAGUUUGGCUGGGGCGGUCGCCUCCAAAAAGGUAACGGAGGCGUACAAAGGUUCCCUCAGACUGGUUGGAAAUCAGUCGAAGAGUGCAAAGGCAGAAGGGAGCUUGACUGCGAGAAGUACAGUUCGAGCAGGGUGGAAACACGGUCUUAGUGAUCCGACGGUGCUGUGUGGAAGGGCCGUCGCUCAACGGAUAAAAGUUACUCUAGGAUAACAGGCUGAUCUCCCCCAAGAGUUCACAUCGACGGGGAGGUUUGGCACCUCGAUGUCGGCUCAUCGCAACCUGGGGCGGAAGUACGUCCCAAGGGUUGGGCUGUUCGCCCAUUAAAGCGGUACGUGAGCUGGGUUCAGAACGUCGUGAGACAGUUCGGUCCAUAUCCGAUGUAGGCGUGAGAAUAUUGAGAGGAGCCUUCCUUAGUACGAGAGGACCGGGAAGGACGCACCGCUGGUGUACCUGUUAUGAUGCCAAUUGUAAACGCAGGGUAGCCAAGUGCGGAGAGGAACCGCUGAAAGCAUCUAAGUGGGAAGCCCACCUCAAGAUGAGUAUUCUGGUGUAAGGUCACGGGAAGACGACCCGUAAAUAGGCACGAGGUGGAAGUGCAGAGAUGUAUGAAGCCGAAGUGUACUAAUAGACCGUCGGCUUG
rnacentral:rRNA from 1 species